rnacentral:tRNA from 1 species
GGGUCCGUAGCUCAGUCAGGCUAGAGCAUCGGACUCUUAAUCCGAGGGUCGCGGGUUCAAUUCCCGUCGGACCCGCCA